UGGUAAACUGCUGGCCUAAAUUACGUG
rnacentral:piRNA from 1 species